GAUGAACGCUAGCGGGAGGCUUAACACAUGCAAGUCGAGCGGUAGGGCAGCAAUGCCUGAGAGCGGCGCACGGGUGCGUAACGCGUAUGCAACCUGCCUUAUACAGGGGAAUAGCCCAUGGAAACGUGGAUUAAUGUCCCAUAGGAUUACGGAUUCGCAUGGAUUUGUGAUUAAAACUGAGGUGGUAUAAGAUGGGCAUGCGUCUGAUCAGGUAGUUGGUAGGGUAAUGGCCUACCAAGCCGACGAUCAGUAGGGGUUCUGAGAGGAUUACCCCCCACACUGGUACUGAGACACGGACCAGACUCCUACGGGAGGCAGCAGUGAGGAAUAUUGGUCAAUGGCCGGAAGGCUGAACCAGCCAUCCCGCGUGCAGGAUGACGGCCCUAUGGGUUGUAAACUGCUUUUGUACCUGAAGAAACCUGUUUACGAGUAGACAGUUGCCGGUAAGGUAUGAAUAAGCAUCGGCUAACUCCGUGCCAGCCGCCGCGGUAAAAC
rnacentral:rRNA from 1 species